rnacentral:rRNA from 1 species
AUUGAACGCUGGCGGCAGGCCUAACACAUGCAAGUCGAGCGGAUGACGGGAGCUUGCUCCUUGAUUCAGCGGCGGACGGGUGAGUAAUGCCUAGGAAUCUGCCUGGUAGUGAGGGACAACGUUUCGAAAGGAACGCUAAUACCGCAUACGUCCUACGGGAGAAAGCAGGGGACCUUCGGGCCUUGCGCUAUCAGAUGAGCCUAGGUCGGAUUAGCUAGUUGGUGGGGUAAUGGCUCACCAAGGCGACGAUCCGUAACUGGUCUGAGAGGAUGGUCAGUCACACUGGAACUGAGACACGGUCCAGAGUCCUACGGGAGGCAGCAGUGGGGAAUAUUGGACAAUGGGCGAAAGCCUGAUCCAGCCAUGCCGCGUGUGUGAAGAAGGUCUUCGGAUUGUAAAGCACUUUAAGUUGGGAGGAAGGGCAGUAAGCUAAUACCUUGCUGUUUUGACGUUACCGACAGAAUAAGCACCGGCUAACUCUGUGCCAGCCGCCGCAGUAA